AACGUCGUCGCUGAUGGUCAGCCGGUUGCCUGCAAAGCAGCUCGCUUGCGGGUUCGAUCCCCGCCGACGUUU
rnacentral:tRNA from 1 species